CUGGUCUUUCAAAAAAUUCAUGCUUCAGGGUACGUUCGCCUGCUCCAUAAAGAGCUACAGUGUCUGCAAAUAAGUUUUCAAUUUUCACUGCCAAAAAAAACAGACUGUUUACAGUGUUGUCUCCCCUCAAAACAUGUAUAUUUAAUCUAAUUUUUUUAAUUAUUUUAAUCAUUCAACCUGCUUUAAUUGAAGUUAAUUAAUAUAUCUUUACAACCAAAUACAAAAACAUGAUACUUUUUCACCAAUUAUGUUGAUAAAAAGGGACUUCCCUCCAUGUCUAUUUUUAGUUGGGGAAUAACCCCUAGUUUUUAUACGAAACUGUUUAUAGCAACCUAAACAAUAUUUUAUUUUGAAAAUAAGGGAGCUACCAUUUGAUUUUUAUGGGGGGGCUAGGAUGAAAUUUGAAAAAAAUAGGCAGGACAGGAGUUUUGAGUGUAAAAAAAAGGCAGGAUGAGACACUUUGCAAAAAAAAUGCAGGAUGACAAUUUAGGUAAAAAAAAGUCGGAAUAAACUAAUAACAUGAAUAAAAAAAAUGCAGGACCGAAUAGAGUGAAAAAUAAAAAGGCAGGACAGAAAUUACAACUGAAAAAAAAUGCAGGACAAAAUUUUUCAUCCUAGCCCCCCCCCCCCCC
rnacentral:lncRNA from 1 species